AUUGAACGCUAGCGGCAGGCUUUACACAUGCAAGUCGAACGCGUGGCGGACGGGUGAGUAAUAUAUCGGAACGUGCCCAGUAGCGGGGGAUAACUACUCGAAAGAGUGGCUAAUACCGCAUACUAUCGGAACGGCCGAUAUCGGAGUAGCUAGUUGGUGGGGGAAUGGAUCACCAAGGCAACGAUCCAUAGCUGGUUUGAGAGGAUGACCAGCCACAGUGGAACUGAGACACGGACCAGACUCCUACGGGAGGCAGCAGUGGGGAAUAUUGGACAAUGGGGGAAACCCUGAUGCAGCCAUCCCGCGUGUAUGAGAAGGCCUUCGGGUUGUAAAGUACUUUUGGCAAAGAAGCGGUAUCUGCAGAAGAAGCACCGGCUAACUACGUGCCAGCCGCCGCGGUAAUAC
rnacentral:rRNA from 1 species